GAAACAGUAGUGUAAUGGUAGCACACAGCCAUUUUUGAGCAUUUUAAUUAUCUUUUAAAAGGUCAAAAAAGGCUUACUUCAAAGUGGGGAGGCUGUAGUGAGGGUUCGAUUCCUUCUUGUUUCU
rnacentral:tRNA from 1 species